ACUCAAAGGAAUAGACGGGGGCCCGCACAAGCGGAGGAGCAUGUGGUUUAAUUCGAUGGUACGCGAGGAACCUUACCUGGGAUUGAAAGACCAAUGACAGUCUCUGAAAGGAGAUUUUCCGAAAGGACAGUGGUCUAGGUGCUGCAUGGCUGUCGUCAGCUCGUGCCGUGAGGUGUCGGGUUAAGUCCCAUAACGAGCGCAACCCCUAUCUCCAGUUGCCAGCGGGUAAUGCCGGGGACUCUGGAGAAACUGCCCGUGCAAACGGUGAGGAAGGAGGGGAUGACGUCAAGUCAGCACGGCCCUUACAUCCAGGGCUACACACGUGCUACAAUGGCCGGUACAAUGGGUCGCUACAUGGCAACAUGAUGCUAAUCUCAAAAACCGGUCCCAGUUCGGAUUGAAGUCUGCAAUUCGACUUCAUGAAGCUGGAUUCGCUAGUAAUCGGAUAUCAGCUACGAUCCGGUGAAUACGUUCCCGGGCCUUGUACACACCGCCCGU
rnacentral:rRNA from 1 species